GAAGAAGAAGAAGGAGGAGGAGGGAAUCACCAUCAUCCUCAUCGGGGAGAGCUUCUUGGUGGCCACGUCCUGAGCAUCUGUCCUCUGCCACACUCUUCCGCCAUGAUGUUCUGCCUCAUCUCGAGCCCCAAGGAAUCAUGGAGCUGGCCUUCUAUGGACGGGGACCUCUGACACCUUAAGCCCCAAGUAAACUUCUUCUUCUCUAA